UAAGCGGAGGAGAAGAAACUAACCAGGAUUUCCCUAGUAACGGCGAGCGAACCGGAAAGAGCCCAGCUUGUAAAUCGUGGUGCCUCGCACCUCGAGUUGUAGUCUGGAGAAGGUCCCUCUGCGGCGCGCCGGGCCCAAGUUCCCUGGAAAGGGACGUCAUCGAGGGUGACAACCCCGUCCGCGCCCGGAACGCGUCGCUCCACGAGGACCUGUCUGCGAGUCGGGCUGUUUGGGAAUGCAGCCCUAAGUGGGAGGUAAAUUCCUUCCAAGGCUAAAUAUGGGCAAGAGACCGAUAGCGAACAAGUACCGCGAGGGAAAGAUGAAAAGGACUUUGAAAAGAGAGUUAAAAAGUGCUUGAAAUUGCUGGGAGGGAAGCGAAUGGAAGCUGCGGGUGCGCCCCGGUUGGAUGUGGAACGGCUUCGGCUGGUCCGCCGCUCAACGCGGGGCGCUGGUCAGCGUGGGCCGCGGCGCCGGGACAAGAGCGGGGAUUCGCUUCCCGCCUAUGCCGGUGCGGUGGCCGAGGCACGAAGCGCGCGCCGCCAGGCGUGGGUUCGCCCAACUGCGCGCUCGGGACGCUGGCGUAUUGAGCUCUUCAUCCGACCCGUCUUGAAACACGGACCAAGGAGUCUAACAUGUAUGCGAGCCGGUGGGCGGCAAACCCAUUGAGGCGCAAGUAAACUGACAGGUGGGACCCCGACCGCGAGGGAGGGAGCACCAUCGACCGACCGUGAUCUUCUGUGAAAGGUUUGAGUGUGAGCAUACCUGUUGGGACCCGAAAGAUGGUGAACUAUGCCUGAGCAGGGCGAAGCCAGAGGAAACUCUGGUGGAGGCUCGUAGCGAUACUGACGUGCAAAUCGUUCGUCAGACUUGGGUAUAGGGGCGAAAGACUAAUCGAACCAUCUAGUAGCUGGUUCCCUCCGAAGUUUCCCUCAGGAUAGCUGGAGCUCGUGUACAAGUUUUAUCAGGUAAAGCGAAUGAUUAGAGGCAUCGGGGGUGUAACACCCUCGACCUAUUCUCAAACUUUAAAUAGGUAAGCCGCCGGGGUUGCUUGGUUGAACCCCGGCACAGAAUGAGAGCUCCAAGUGGGCCAU
rnacentral:rRNA from 1 species